rnacentral:rRNA from 1 species
GAUAGGCUAAUUAAGAGCGCAUGGGGAAUGCCUAGGCUCUCAGAGGCGAUGAAGGACGCGAUAAGCUGCGAAAAGCUACGGGGAGUGGCACAUACACUGUGAUCCGUAGAUGUCCGAAUGGGGCAACCCACUAUAUUGAAGAUAUAGUACCCGACUUGUCGGGAGCAAACCCGGAGAACUGAAACAUCUAAGUACCCGGAGGAGAAGAAAACAAAAGUGAUUCCGUAAGUAGCGGCGAGCGAAAGCGGAACAGCCCAAACCC